AUAGUAGAUCUACAGAGGAACA
rnacentral:snRNA from 1 species